rnacentral:rRNA from 1 species
UACGGAGGGGGCUAGUGUUGUUCGGAAUUACUGGGCGUAAAGGGCGCGCAGGCGGCUUGGCAAGUCGAGUGUGAAAUCCCUUGGCUUAACUAAGGAAUGGCGCUCGAAACUACCUCGCUAGAGGACGGGAGAGGGAAGUGGAACUCUCGGUGUAGGGGUGAAAUCUGUAGAUAUCGAGAGGAACACCGGGUGGCGAAGGCGGCUUCCUGGCCCCGUAGCUGACGCUGAGGCGCGAAAGCUAGGGGAGCGAACAGG